rnacentral:tRNA from 1 species
GUCCCAGUAGCUAACACUUACUUAAAGCAUUGGUCUUGUAAACCAAAGACGGGUCAUUCCCCUGGGUCA